rnacentral:tRNA from 1 species
GGCCGCCGGGUCCUCGGCGAGGCAGCGCGCCACCACCGCGCGCAGCGUCUCGUCGGCGAGCCCGGCCAGCCGUUCGGCGCGGUCGACGGUCG